rnacentral:rRNA from 1 species
AAGACUUCGGUCAAGUUGAACGGAUGACUUAGUGGCGGACGGGUGAGUAACGCGUGGGCAACCUGCCUUGUACAGGGGGAUAACAGUUAGAAAUGACUGCUAAUACCGCAUAAGACCACAGCACCACAUGGUGCAGGGGUAAAAACUGAGGUGGUACAAGAUGGGCCCGCGUCUGAUUAGCUGGUUGGUGAGGUAACGGCUCACCAAGGCGACGAUCAGUAGCCGACCUGAGAGGGUGACCGGCCACAUUGGGACUGAGACACGGCCCAAACUCC